rnacentral:tRNA from 1 species
GAAGGUAUAGCUCAGUGGUAGAGUGUGUGCUUAGCAUGCAUGAGGUCCUGGGUUCAAUCCCCAGUACCUCUG